CAUCACGGUUGCGCUCAAGGUCCAAAAUAACUACGUGAAAGCCGCUCCCUCCUAAGGCUUGCAUCAUGCUUUUCAUUCCAAUCUGAGUCAUGGCAAUGUUCUUUGAGUCAUUUGCCAGGACUUAAUCAAAGUUUCACAAUGUCCUUCCUAUGUGAACACUUUCUGGCUUCUCCCUUAAAUUUUGUUUUGGCAACAAAAUAUCCUUUGAAAAACUGGCUCCAGGAUCUCCCGCAUUCCAAGGCUCUCCGCACAAUUCCUCGGUCCCUCCUGUGGCCUCCUCUUCUCUUCGGGGCCGGCAAGGUCAUCAACUCCCUUCGUCCUUCCUUCUUCCCUUGCCCGUUGGGUCACUUCCCCGCCCCCUUUCCUUGUAUUAUUUCUCCACUGAAAGCUUCUUCCCCUGCUCAGUGCCCUCCCAGCCCCCAGGGGACAGUGGCAUCCACUGGCUCCAAAGGGAAGACCCCAGGCUGAGGAGCAGACAGACGGCCCAGUGUCCUGGAGCCCUGGAAGAGCUCCUUAACGUCUGGGCCACAGUUUUCUGUAAAUUCAAACAGUUCUCAGCCCAUAUCCACAGCUGGUUUAAAGCAUUUGGAUAAAGAUCCUCCCACAGCAUAGGUACAUUCUACCCUUACGCAGACAGCCUCUUAUUUGAAAGCAACUUUCUAAACGUUCACCAAUAGGACACUGGUAGAAUAAGGAUGCAUUCAUCAAAAAGCACGAGUGGCUCUAAGUACAGUGUCUAGAGAGUAAGGAAAACAAUUUGCAGAACAAUGUGUCUAGUAGAAUCUCUGUUUUAAGAAGUCGAUGCUAUGUGCUAUGUGUCAGCACUAUGUGACCUGUGACACGUACGUUUGCGUGCGGUUAGAAAGAAUCUGAAAGGAUGCAGACCACAUGCAACAGCGGCUGCUUUGCGGAUGGAGGAGGUGCAGGAAGCGGGUGAGGGAAUUUUAAUUUUUUCUUUCUACGCCUAUGAAAUGUUUGAAAUUUUUACCAGUAUUUCUUCAACAAUCAAGCAGCCCCAAUUUCAAAUGAUUUGGGCGAAGCAUCUUCUAUACCCUGGAUUAGAGCUUUACUGACAUGCUCAAAAUCUUGUAAAUAAAUUGUCUAAUAACAAGCAUUUUCCUUUGGUCCCCAUUCACAAAAUGUCACUCGUUCUGAAAAAACAGAAAUUAAAUAAAUGUUGUGACUGCUUUACCCCAUGGAACAGUGAGAGCUGAGCAGACCCCAGUUCUUCGUCCUGCCCCGCAGUGGCAAUGCCCCUUCAAGUCUUCUGACUUCUCCCGCCUCGGCGUUUCAGUGACCCCAGCAGGCCCCUGAUCGUGGGGCCUCGAGAGGGGAGACGGGGCGAAGGCUGAGGCAAGGCCGAGGUACUGGGUCUUCCUCUCCCUUGUGAGGGUCAAUCAAGAAUGCUGUUUAUGUGGUCAGUGCUUUACCCGGAGAACAGGCCCAGAUUCUGCCUCACAGAUUGUAGCUUCUGUUGAGUGAUUUCACCAAGUUAGUUAUUUCCAACCUGUUGUAUUUGCUGCCAAGCAGUUUGGAUGUCACACGAAGUUUACUAUGACGAGGUCACCAGAUGCAGCCAUUUCUCUCUGCACCUUUUCUCUGACGGAAUUUCUGUGGACUUGCUUCGUUCAUCCCCAGCUGUGGUGAGGCACUGACAGUUAAGGCAGUCAGAUACACACACGUGUGCACACAAUCUUCACCCACUACAUCCUCCCAGGACGACAUGAUACAUCUUUGAUAAUAGAUCCCCUCUGCACCCGAUUUCCCAAGGAGGAAAUUAGUAAGAACAACUUCGGGGGUGUGAUUUCCUCCUUCUUCCCUUGUUCUACCGUCCAGCCUAUUUUAAGACGGCUGUAUGUAACAGGCCUGCGGCCGCGUGACUCAACCUCUGCUAAUCACCGAGAACAGGAGUUUGCUUGGCAUGGGCGUCCAUCCCGGUCCCCAGGCUCCAGGCUUGUGGCUAGCGUAGGUGUCCUCUGAGUGAGGAUUCAAUGAAAAUUACAUGUCAGUCCUAUGCAUUUAUGUGGAAAUUGUUCGUUAUUUGUUCCCUAAUGUUAGUGCAUUUCUUGGGGACAACAUCAACGUUAAAACACUCGAUUCUCGUUAUUUAAAAAAAGCAUUGAUCUAACUGUGAGACAUCUUUACUUACGCAUUUUCAGAUCUGCAUCGCCGCUCUUCCCCAGGGCCCCACGGCCCAGCCUGGCAGAAGCCCUGUCUCUCACUGAGGCCGUGCCUGCAGACUCCUUCUGUCCCCACGGGCUGCAAACCCUGCUCUCGGUGGAGCUCAGAACAAUCGUUUUAAAAUGCAAAUCAAAUCCAGCCCCGCCCUGGUUUACGACCCCUCCGCUGGCUCCCCACUGUGACGGAACAAGCUGACUGAAAACUCCACGUGGGCAUGGACCACGAGAGCUGGCAUCGCGAAUGCCCAGUUCAGGGACCUGCCAAAGCCCCAGAGGUCUUUGCUUGACCAAACUUGAGUCAGACUCCGGAAGCUUCUCCUGGGCCCAUCUGUGCAAUUCCCUGUAAAGCCCAGUUUUCGCAAGAACCCUGCUACGUCGGUUUCACCUGAACCCCCCUCGAUAUCUGACCAACCUCAGUAUCUGAGCAGGGUCCGUACCCUCCGCCAUCCUCCCUGUGACACCCUCCCGCCUGUCUCCAGUAAGAACCCUGGGAGGUCGGUUUAGCCCAACCCCCUCCCUCUGAGGUUUCCUCCUAAUUAUUUUUCCCCCCACUGACCCCCACCUGCUUCUCGGCUAUAAACCCUCACUUCCCACGCUGUAUUCAAAGUUGAGCCCAGUCUCUCGUCCCCACUGAAAAUUCUGUCCCAGUGGUCCCCACCCAUCAUGGUGGUCCUGAAUAAAGUCUGCC
ensembl:lncRNA